AUCGAGUCGUUUGCUUAACCAACCAAACCACCCAGGCACCUCUUGAAUUCUGAGCUCUGCUCACACAAUGAUUCUGGCAUUUAAAGCUGUGCUGUUGAGUUCUUUACAAGACAGCAGUACAAGGAGAGUUACUUAUUUUUCUUCUUGAAGGUUGAGAAGAAAUUGGUGCUGAAAAUCUCUGCCUUCAGAGAUUUCUGCAUUUUCCAAGGGAGACCAGCAAAAUAUGAAGAAGUCCUGUGCUGUGUGCCUAGUGUGGAGCCGAAUGCCAGGCUUGGACUCACAAACCUGAUAUCAAGAGUUGGACACCCAACGAACUGAGCAACCCAGGUGCCCCAGUAGUUGUUCUACAUUGAAGCCCAGAAUUCCACGGAGUCUGGGGAGAAGUAUAGGUUUCUCUUGGCCCAGGUGUUCCCCCUGCUGUUUCCCAGCCACACGUCAUAGCCGGCGUCUGCCAGAAUGAAGGCCAGGCUGUUGUUGGGCAAAUUGGAGAUCCAGUUUGUGGCUGACGUGAGCAAACCGUGUUGCAGAAAUGCAACAGGUCUCCGGCCUGAGGGAGAAAAUUGUAUCCAAGAUUUAUAUCCUCAUUCCUCAUUCUCAGAUAAACAUGGAGACAGGAUAUAGACUUUCGGACGACUAGAAUGAAAUAGUUUUGCUUGAUUGAGUUGAAUAUUUGAAUAUAUCAUUUUAAUUAUGGUGGUGGUUUCUCAAGUGACACAACGCAUCAGAUUGUGCAGUUUAACCUUGGAAGGCUAUUGAGAAACUUAUAUUCUGAGGAAAUUCAGUGUGAUGUUAAUUUAAGUGGCUUGUGAGUGGUAAAGUGAUAGGUGAUCAUGCUUAAUUUUAUUCUCCUUGUACUUCACAAUUUUCCUGCGAUGAGAAAAAGAUAAAAUGUUUGUGUAAGUGAGGAAAUGAGCCUCAGAUCGCCUCCCUUUCCUCCCCAUGGUCACACACAUCCUGGCUAACUCUUCCUGAUCCUCCAGGACUCAGCUAAGUCAUUAUUUCUAGAGCAAGUUUUCCUUGAUCUCCACCAGCCGAGUUAGGCCUCUGUAUCAGAACUUCUGGUUUAAUGUCCUCUGCAGAGUUCUAGCAUUGCACUUAUCACGUAUCAUUAUAACUAUCUGUUCAUGAUUCCACUAACUUCAUGAUGAUCUCUCUGAAGAUGAGAGAUAAAGUUUCAUCAUGGUUUCAUUUCUAGAAUGAGCAAGACUCACUAAGUCCUUAGGGAGAAAUGAAAGGAGGAAGGGAAGAAGGAAAGAAACAAGGAUGGAAUGAAGGGAAGAAAAGAGAAGGGAGAAAAAGGAAGGGAGGGAGGAUUAUACCUAUAUUCUCUGAAUUUUUCUUCCCAUAAGGAAUUCUAUUGAUCCCAAGGAUAUAACCAUCUUCCGUUAUGACAUCAUACUCUUCACUUGGGUAACCCCAGUAGGAGAUCAUCUGACUCUGAUGAAGAAAAACAAAGCUUCUAGUUUCAGUUGAGUUUUUAAAAGCAUCUAGUAAGUAGAUAAGUUAUUCUUGACUGGUCACGUAAAAGCUUCAGCUUGCCAUGAUUCUAAAUCAUGGUAGUAGCUCUUGGUUCUAUGGGUUCCCUGCCCCACAACUCUGGUAACUUACAAUAUUCAUGGUCACUUCAGGGCUUAUAGGAUGUAAUUUUCCAAAGUAAGCAUGUGUGGUUCCAAGUGCAGAUAUCAAACUUGCCACAGUUAAUAGCAACCACAUUUUGCUCUUGUCUGAAACAGAAGAAACCAUGGCAGUGGUUAGCCUAUGAUGCUUUCAUAAUACUUGUAUUCUGUGCUAGUUUUACCUUCAUGCAAGGUUUGAUUAUAUUCUGUUUUGGGCAGUAAACUGGGACAUGUGAUGGUCAGCAUGUGUAUUUUAAUGCUUCACAUGUUUCACUCUCCUUGAAGCCUUUUACGAACAUUUCCUACUUGGUUUUCAAGUCAUAUUGAGCUCAGCUUAAUUGAUCAAAAUGUCUUCUAAUUGUCUGGCAUAAUAUUAUGUUCUUAUUAUGCCUUAUGUUUAAGGCUUUUGUCAACUCUUUUUGAGAGCCCCAAGUCAUGUGUGUGUGUUGGGGUUGGGUGGCAUUGUGUCAACAUUUGAUUCUUUUAGAUUCGAUAUCAAUACAACAUGGUUCAAACCCA